rnacentral:rRNA from 1 species
GACGAACGCUGGCGGCGUGCUUAACACAUGCAAGUCGAACGGAAAGGCCCUGCUUUUGUGGGGUGCUCGAGUGGCAAACGGGUGAGUAACACGUGAGUAACCUGCCCUUGACUUUGGGAUAACUUCAGGAAACUGGGGCUAAUACCGGAUAGGAGCUCCUGCUGCAUGGUGGGGGUUGGAAAGUUUCGGCGGUUGGGGAUGGACUCGCGGCUUAUCAGCUUGUUGGUGGGGUAGUGGCUUACCAAGGCUUUGACGGGUAGCCGGCCUGAGAGGGUGACCGGCCACAUUGGGACUGAGAUACGGCCCAGACUCCUACGGGAGGCAGCAGUGGGGAAUAUUGCACGAUGGGCGGAAGCCUGAUGCAGCAACGCCGCGUGCGGGAUGACGGCCUUCGGGUUGUAAACCGCUUUCGCCUGUGACGAAGCGUGAGUGACGGUAAUGGGUAAAGAAGCACCGGCUAACUACGUG